GUGGAAACAUCUCCGCACAAACUAGACUACUGAAACCAGUGUGCGGAAGUGCUUCUGCUA
rnacentral:pre_miRNA from 1 species